GGCCUCGUAGUUCAACGGAUAGAAUAGAAGUUUCCUAAACUUUAGAUAUGGGUUCGAUUCCCGUCGAGGCUAC
rnacentral:tRNA from 1 species